rnacentral:rRNA from 1 species
UGGGGAAUCUUCCGCAAUGGACGAAGGUCUGACGGAGCAACGCCGCGUGAGUGAAGAAGGUUUUCGGAUCGUAAAACUCUGUCUUUUGGGGGCGAACGUGAGUAUGGUGAACAACCAUAGUCAGUGACGGUACCAAAGGAGGAAGCCACGGCUAACUACGUGCCAGCAGCCGCGGUAAUACGUAGGUGGCAAGCGUUGUCCGGAAUUAUUGGGCGUAAAGAGCGCAUAGGCGGGAUAGUCAGUCUGUUGUAAAAGUGCGGGGCUCAACCCCGUGAUGGCAAUGGAAACAGCUAUUCUUGAGUGCAGGAGAGGAAAGUGGAAUUCCCAGUGUAGCGGUGAAAUGCGUAGAUAUUGGGAGGAACACCAGUGGCGAAGGCGACUUUCUGGACUGUGUCUGACGCUGAGGCGCGAAAGCCAGGGGAGCGAACGGGAUUAGAUACCCCCGGUAGUCCUGGCCGUAAACGAUGGGUACUAGGUGUGGGAGGUAUCGACCCCCUUCCGUGCCGGAGUUAACGCAAUAAGUACCCCCGCCUGGGGAGUACGGUCGCAAGACUGAAACUCAAAGGAAUUGACGGGGUCAUAGCUG